rnacentral:lncRNA from 1 species
CUCGUCGUCUCUGCCCCGGUCUCGUCGCCUCCGCCAUCUCCGACGUCAGGUAGGGGCGGCGCUCCUUCGGCUUCUUCUUCUCCUCCUCCUCUUUCACGGUACAGAACGGAGGCGGUGUUGCUGAGGACAGUGUUUGGCGUCUGGCAGAGGCCGCCGGGAAGUGGUCUCGGCGGCGAGAGGAAAGGCGCAGUGCAGCGCGCUCAGAGGCGGCGCGUUUUCCCAGUAAAAAAAACCCUAAUUCCAUAUCUGAGUAAUUUUGGGGAUUUUUGUUUUACUUCCUUGAAAAAAAGUUUAGAUCUGAUACGUCUGUGAAUGAUUUUCGUUCUAAGAUCUGUUGAGAUUGUUGAUUCAAAGGAAUUGUUGUAUUUUAAUUGUAGAUUGAAUUGAUUCGAAUAAUAUUUUGUUGUAUUUUGAUUGUUGAUUGAGCUGUAUAAUUAUUUUUUUAAUGUUCUUAAAUUCACAACCAAAUUUAUGAAUUCACAGAAGCUUAAUGUUUUUGAAUUCA